rnacentral:rRNA from 1 species
GAUGAACGCUAGCUACAGGCUUAACACAUGCAAGUCGAGGGGUAACGAGAGGAAAGCUUGCUUUCCUUGUCGACGACCGGCGCACGGGUGAGUAACGCGUAUCCAACCUGCCCCCAACUAGGGAAUAACCUUGCGAAAGUAAGACUAAUACCCUAUAAUUUCCUCAGAUGUCAUCUGACGAGGAAUAAAGAUUUAUCGGUUGUGGAUGGGGAUGCGGCUGAUUAGCUUGUUGGCGGGGUAACGGCCCACCAAGGCGACGAUCAGUAGGGGUUCUGAGAGGAAGGUCCCCCACAUUGGAACUGAGACACGGACCAAAAUCCUACGGGAGGCAGCAGUGAGGAAUAUUGGUCAAUGGGCGGAAGCCUGAACCAGCCAAGUAGCGUGCAGGAUGACGGCCCUAUGGGUUGUAAACUGCUUUUAUACAGGAAUAAAGUUAGCCACGUGUGGUUAUUUGUAGGUACUGUAUGAAUAAGGACCGGCUAAUUCCGUGCCAGCCGCCGCGGUAA